CUUCCUAUAACAAGUCUCUGCUGUUUGUUUCAGGCUGGAUCUCUGUCUCAGGUUCUGAGUCUCACACUGAGACUGUGGAGGGUCGGCCGGGUGGAGAAGUCACACUCACAUGUUCUAACCCGUCCAUCCGAGACACUCCAACAUUCUGGUUGAGAGUGUUCAACAGAACCAAGGCCAGCUUUAUCUCCGCGAUAUUCAGCUCUACAGUAAAACCUUUUUACAGUGAUGGAAUUCAAAAUGGAAGAUUCAACAUGAGUACCAACAUCUCCACUCUCUUUCUCUAAAUCAAACAUGUGGAUGUAUCUGACUCUGGACUGUAUUUAUGUGGAUUUUACAUCGGAGGACGUUAUGAUAUCAGCGCAAUACACUUCAAUGUUAAAGGCAGUGAUGAUUCUCAUGAUGACGCUGACAGGAAGUCUGAAAGCAGCGAUGAAUCUCAUGAUGACGACAGGAAGUCUGAAAAGUCUGAUGGAACAGCAAAGCUGAUGAGUUUGAUCCUGGGAGCUCUGACUGUUCUCCUCUUAAUGAUCAUCAUUG